AGUGUUUCCUGCUGUCCUAGUGAUGCCUGGGACCAUUCGGUCUUCCUGGAGGUAUCUUAUCUUCCCACGGGGAGUCCUGUUUUCCCGAUGACAUCCUGUCCUUCCGAGGGCGCCCUGUCUUCCCUGGGGCAUCCUGUCUUCCCUGGCGUCGGUUGCUUAGGGUAAGAUUCUGGAGCGAACACUGAAGUUCGCGGCUCGGGAGCAGGCGCUUGGGGGAAUAGGACCCGGACACCCAAAGCAAUGAGGAGCCCCGAGAAAGUUGGACGAGCGCAUGCAACGAGGGGAACAGGCGACGGUCGCCAAGGCACGGGCGACUUGGGGCAAAGUCACUCACGCUGCCGUUGUUCCAGAUGGCGCAGGUUACUGGAAGAGCGUGUACCAGAUGCCACUCUGCAAGAGAAAGAAAGAAGGAAGCUGAACCAAGUCAAAGAAGACUGUUAUUUGGAGCAUGUGCGAGGCUUGGCUAGCCCAGAGGCUGACGUCACCAGUUUUCAGAGAUUCAGGAUGAUGCCACCUGUUGGACAUUAGAGGCCCAGGAGGAUGUAGCUACUCUGCUUUAUUCUGUACACUUGCAGGGUAGAGGCCUAAAAAGAAUGUGCUUCUCAUGGGAACUGAAGGAAAUAUUUAUCCAGGGUGAAGAGUCAGUAGGCCCAUGGCUGUCACAUGACAAUCACAUGACAAGCUUAAAGCUUUUACCUCUCAUGUUUUUCUGUCCACACCCACACCUCUCACAGCCCCCCAUGUAUCUCUUUCUUCUGCUAGUCAGGAGAACCAUGGUUCCACAGCCUGAGGCUAUUUACCUUGUCUUUGUUGUUUGAUGGACACACCUGACAUUGUGACAUGCCUCAGUUUCCCCGUUUUGUUCCUCAGUCUCCGUUAUUCUUGCCCAAAGCCCAUCUAGUGGUUUGAAUGAUGGCUCGUGAUUUCCUGUCCUCCAUAAAGAACCCAGAGAUUCAGGGAUCAGGGUUAAUUUGACUAAUGUUUCAUUUCUUUUCCCACCUGUCCUGUGAGUUUCUCUACAUGAAGAUAGCUUUUUUUUUUCUAUCUGUGUCAGCUAGAAUCAAGAAAGAAAAAGUGUAAAGACAUGGCCUGCCAACUUCUGAAAGUUACUGAGACUGAGAAUACCAAAGCCUCCCAUGGAGGAGUUGGGUUUGACUCCUGACUAGGGUCUCAUAUGUGUUUGUCUGAAGUCCUUGUGAUUCACUGAGGAUGGAUGAUGAUACUGCUUGCUGUCUUGAAGUCAGGAAGUGUUUGUAGCCUUCUUUAGGAGGCAGACAAGAACCAGACUACUCCUUACCUGCAAACUCCCUGAGUUAUGUUUUACCUAUGUUGAUUUAUAGCUAACGUUAUUGAAUUUUAUAUUAGAAGCUGAAAAAGUAUUUCAGUGCCUUAGCUAAAAUUUAUAGUGAACCAGAUACUUUCCAAGGCAGUUUGUUCUGUGGUCAUAUGUAGCACUGGAAAGCUGGUCCCAUGGCAAGUGUCUCUACAAUCCACUUGGACCUCAGUGUGGAGAAUGUAGAGCUGUUAAUGGAAAGAAAUGGCCACAUCCCCUCCCUCAUCUUGACACCCCAAUUUUCAACUUCAAGGCAAAAGAGAAAAGCAAUGUGUGCCUCUUUUGUGUCCAGCUAUUCCAUCCCAGUUUUUAGGUCAAG
ensembl:processed_transcript